GUGCAGGAGCCGCUGGUCAUGGCAGGAAGGCACCGAGUUCUGGGUGGGACACGAGGUGAAGGACACCCCUGAGGCUCUUGCAGCCAGAAUCCUGGGUCCUGCUCCCCAGUUGGGGUCUGGAGAACGCGAAUCUUAAAGCCAGUGCCAGAGUAUGAUCCUGAACCCCGAGCCCCCCACUUCUCACCCGGGGCCAGC